UACUCAGCCUUCCACUUGAUCAAGUAACAGGAUCAAGAAACACUCUCUAUUUUAUUUUUUUGAUAAGAAAUAUACAUUCUUCUCGUCAUUAUACAAACUCUAAUCAAUUUCGUUGCUUUUGUCACAUAGUAAAGAUGUAUCAUUAUCAUCACUUGACAUAUAUGAAUCAGUAUCUUCUAAAAUAUAAUUGAUUUUUCCAUCAUCUGAGCAAAAGACACUUGCGAGAUACAUCUAUAGCCUCAGCAACCCUGUACCCAGACAGAAUGAUAAAUAUACAUUGAUACUGUACACAUUGAAAGAGUUGAAGUUGACUAAGACCCUUUUGAAAAAAGGUGGCACUAAACCAGCCUAUCAAAGACCCCUGACAAUCUUCAGUUUGCUCCGAAAUGUGAAAGACUCUUGAAAUCAAGAGUAUAAGAAUGGAGCUUAUAAAAUCCCAUUACACAAUCUAGAUAAUGGAGCUGAUGAAGUUUACAUGGAUGCAACAGCAAGGAAUCUGAGUGAUAGAAUACUAGAGCAUAAAAGAAGCAUAAAGAAUGCCACAUUAACCACAGCUUUGGCUUCCAGAGCAUGUGAGAACAAUGUUGAAAUAAAAUGGGACGAGGCAAAAAUUGUGAAGCAGGUAUGCAAUCUGCAAGAAUUAUCAAUAGCUGAGAACUUGCAGAUCCAUAAGAAAAGGCAGGAGUUCAUCUAAUUAACAACAAUAGGCAGGUGCAAGACCUCCCCAAACCAUGGAGAUAUUUGCUCAAGUCAUACCCCUAAAUUCAUGUGGGUUACAGAUAUAGUAAGACGAUUCUAAAAAAGAUUGUAAUACAUAAUUGUAAUGAACCUUUAGACUGGUUUACCUGCAAGUUAUAGAGUUUAUAGUAGC
rnacentral:lncRNA from 1 species